rnacentral:tRNA from 1 species
GCUAGCGUAGCUUAACUAAAGCAUAACACUGAAGAUGUUAAGACAAACCUUAGAUUGGUUUCGCAAGCA